AGUCCUCUUCUUCACAGAACAGGGGAGGUCCUUCCUCCCUCUUGUUCCCGAACUAAGGGCCUCCCCCCCAACCGACCACCACUCCGAUCGGUGGAGCAGUCCCCGACGACAUCGAGAGAUCAAGUCUGGUGACCGACGACGGCAAACAAUGACGAAAAAAACCAAAAUAACAUGGAGAAAACAAGGGAUCUUCUUUGGAAUUUAUUUCCAACAAAGCUAAUGGCCGGCGGCGAGGUCUGGGGUUAUGAGAAGAUGAGCAAGAGAGAGAGAAGGAAGGAUUGGGACCUUACCUUGGUUUCGAUGGCAUCUCUGGUCUUGAUUUUCGGUGGGCACGGUGAAGGCAAUCAACGACUCCAACGAAGGAAAAGAGGGAGAAAGAAGAGAAAGGAAGCCUGAUGUUUUCAUGGCUUACUUAAGAUAGAGAAGAGGAAAUUUAUAGAUGGGAUCUAGGGCUCCUAGAGUCCCAAUCCCAUUCUAAUUCAAAGAGGGAAGACAGACUCUAUCACGAGUCCUCUUUCGUUCUCUUUUUUCUUCUUCUUCUUAUUAUUAUUAUUAUUUAAAUCUGGGUUAUUACAUGGUUAGUUUUUUUUUCAGGAGAAGCUAAUUGUGCGGGGAGAGAAGUUUUACCGGAAUCAGAAACUUGGAUUCAUAGAAUCCCAAAAUAAUAGCUAUUGGCGGCUUGUCUGCUUUUACUGCUUCCUGCCAUGAGAUCCUUGGGAUCUGCUCGUGGUGCAGUGUCAUUUGUCUAUGCCAUCCUACAGAGUUGUUGCAUUUAAUUUUGUUGGCUUGCUUGUUUCAUGAUAAAUCAAGUUCAUCAACAAAAUGUUGCUGCCAACAUAUUUUGCUAGGACCCAUUGAUGCACAUUGUUAUGGUCACCA